AGGUCACUGCUAUCGGUGUUCGAUUAAGCCAUGCGAGUCGUGAGGGGUAAAGCCCUCGGCGGAGUGCUCAGUAACACGUGGACAACCUACCCAAGAGUCAGGGAUAACCCCGGGAAACUGGGGAUAAUACCUGAUAGGCCAUGACAUCUGGAAUCGAGUUGUGGUUUAAACGUAAGGCUCUUGGAUGGGUCUGCGGCGGAUUAGGUUGUUGCCGGUGUAACGUACCAGCAAGCCUGUAAUCCGUACGGGUUGUGGGAGCAAGAGCCCGGAGAUGGAUUCUGAGACACGAAUCCAGGCCCUACGGGGCGCAGCAGGCGCGAAAACUCUACAAUGCAGGCAACUGCGAUAGGGGAACAUCGAGUGGCAUCCACCAUGGAUGUCUGUCCAAUCGUCUAAAAAACGAUUGUCAGCAAGGGCCGGGCAAGACCGGUGCCAGCCGCCGCGGUAAUACCGGCGGCUCGAGUGGUGGCCGAUAUUAUUGAGUCUAAAGGGUCCGUAGCCGGCUUUGCAAGUCCUAUGGGAAAUCCAGCGGCUUAACCGUUGGGCUUUCAUGGGAUACUACAUUGCUUGGGACUGGGAGAGGUAGGAGGUACUCAGGGGGUAGGGGUGAAAUCCUGUAAUCCUUUGGGACCACCGGUGGCGAAGGCGUCCUACCAGAACAGGUCCGACGGUGAGGGACGAAAGCUAGGGGCACGAACCGGAUUAGAUACCCGGGUAGUCCUAGCCGUAAACGAUGCUCGCUAGGUGUCACGGCAGUCGUGAAUUGUCGUGGUGCCGUAGGGAAGCCGUGAAGCGAGCCACUUGGGAAGUACGACCGCAAGGUUGAAACUUAA
rnacentral:rRNA from 1 species